AGAGGGUGAAACUCCCGUCCGCCUGGUAGAAUGAGUCUUUGUCAACGAGUCGAGUUGUUUGGGAUUGCAGCUCUAAUUUGGUGGUAAAUUCCGUCUAAAGCUAAAUAUUGGUGGGAGACCGAUAGCGUACAAGUACCGUGAGGGAAAGAUGCAAAGAACUUUGAAAAGGGAGUUAAAGAGUACCUGAAAUUGCUGAAACGGAAGCGAAGGAAACCAGUGUUUGUUGGUUCAUAUUUCCCUAGCCACUUGUGGCUUGGGCGCUGUGGGCUUGCGUGAGUUUGGGUUGGUUGAUUCCUUUGGAAGAGCGCAGUCAGAGUUGAUGUCU
rnacentral:rRNA from 1 species